rnacentral:rRNA from 1 species
UGGGGAAUUUUGCGCAAUGCUCGAAAGAGUGACGCAGCGACGCCGCGUGAAUGACGAAGGCCUUCGGGUCGUAAAGUUCUUUCGACAGGGAAGAAAUUGUGUAACAGUAACUGGUUAUAUAUUGACGGUACCUGUAUAAGCAGCCCCGGCUAACUCCGUGCCAGCAGCCGCGGUAAUACGGAGGGGGCGAGCGUUGUUCGGAGUGACUGGGCGUAAAGAGCACGUAGGCGGUGUUGUAAGUCAUUAGUCAAAGACUAGAGCUCAACUUUAGUAAGGCUAGUGAUACUAUAAUACUAGAGUAUCAGAGAGGAUUGCAGAAUUCCUGGUGUAGCGGUGAAAUGCGUAGAUAUCAGGAGGAAUACCGGUAGCGAAGGCGGCGAUCUGGCUGGAAACUGACGCUGAGGUGCGAAAGCGUGGGUAGCAAACAGG